GACGAACGCUGGCGGCGUGCUUAACACAUGCAAGUCGAACGAUGAACCCGGAGCUUGUUCUGGGGGAUUAGUGGCGAAAGGGUGAGUAACACGUGAGUAACCUGCCCUGGACUCUGGGAUAAGCGUUGGAAACGACUUCUAAUAACGGAUAGGACUUUGGAUCGCAUGAUCUGGGGUGGAAAGUUUUUUCGGUCUGGGAUGGACUCGCGGCCGAUCAGCUUGUUGGUGGGGUAUUGGCUCACCAAGGCGUCGACGGGUCGGCGGCCUGUGAGGGUGGCCGGCCACACUGGGAGGGAGAGACGGCCGAGACUGCUACGGGAGGCAGCAGUGGGGAAGAUUGCUCAAAGGGCGAGAGCCAGCUGCAGCAACGCCGCGUGCGGGAGGACGGCCUUCGGGUUGUAAGCCGCGUUUAGUAGGGAAGAAGGGCUUCGGCUUGACGGUACCUGCAGAAAAAGGACCGGCUAACUAUGUG
rnacentral:rRNA from 1 species